rnacentral:rRNA from 1 species
AUGCAGUCCACGGUACCUUCGGGUAUAGUGGCGGACGGGUGAGUAACGCGUGAGAAUCUGUCUUCAGGUCGGGGACAACAGUUAGAAAUGACUGCUAAUACCGGAUAUGCCUUGUUGGGGUGAAAGAUUAAUUGCCUGAAAAUGAGCUCGCGUCAGAUUAGCUAGUAGGUGGAGUAAGAGACUACCUAGGCAUCGAUCUGUAGCUGGUCUGAGAGGACGAUCAGCCACACUGAGAACUGAGACACGGUCCAGACUCCUACGGGAGGCAGCCGCUGGGGAAUUUUCCGCAAUGGGCGAAAGCCUGACGGAGCCAAUACCUCGCGAGGGACGAAGGCUUGUGGGACGAAAACCUCUUUUCUCAAGGAAGAUUUCAGACGGUACUUGAGGAAUAAGCAUCGGCUAACUCCGUGCCAGCAGCCGCGAAAAUACGGAGGAUGCAAGCGUUAUCCGGAAUGAUUGGGCGUAAAGCGUCCGCAGGUGGCUUUAUAAGUCUGCUGUAAAAGCGUUAGGCUUAACCUAAUUACGGCGGUGAAAACUAUAAGGUUAGAGCAUGUUAGGGCUAGAGGGAAUUCCCACUGUAGCGCUGAAAUGCGUAGAGAUUGGGAAGAACACCGGUGGCAAAGGCGCUCUGCUAGGACAAUCCUGACACUGAAGGACGAAAGCUAGGGCAGCGAAUGACAUUAGAUACCCCAGUAGUCCUAACCGUACACGAUGAAUACUACGCGUAGCCCGUAUCGACCCGGGCAUUGACGAAGCUAACGCGUUAACUAUCCCGCCAGGGAGUACGCACCCCAGUGUGAGACUCACCGGAAUAGACCGGCGCCAGCACAAACAGUCGAAGAAGUUGACUAAUUCCAUCCCACGCGGAGAACCUUGCCGGGACUUGCCAUGCCACGAACCCUAGCUAAAGCAGGUGGUGCCUUCCGGAGCAAGCACCCAGGUGGUGCAUGGCUGUCGUCAGCUCGUGUCGUGAGAUGUUGGGUUAAGUCCCGCAACGAGCGCAACCCUCGUUUUUAGUUGCCAUCAUUAAGUUGGGCACUCUAGAGAGACUGCCGGUGACAAACCGGAGGAAGGUGGGGAUGACGUCAAGUCAGCAUGCCCCUUACGUCCUGGGCUACACACGUACUACAAUGCGACGAACAAAGGGCAGCUAGUUAGCAAUAACAUGCAAAUCUCAGAAAUCGUCGCUCAGUUCAGAUUGAAGGCUGCAACUCGCCUUCAUGAAGUCGGAAUCGCUAGUAAUUGCAGGUCAGCAUACUGCAGUGAAUUCGUUCCCGGGCCUUGUACACACCGCCCGUCACACCAUGGAAGCUGGUCACGCCCGAAGUAGUUAUCCUAACAGUUCGCUGGGGGAGACUCCGAAGGUAGGGCUGGUGACUGGGGUGAAGUCGUAACAAGGUAGCCGUACCGGAAGGUGUGGCUGGAUCACCUCCUUUUUAGGGAGACCUACCCAUUUUAGAUUGUGAAUUUUUGAAAAUCGAUUGUGAGAAUUAAUCUCAA